AUUGAACGCUGGCGGCAGGCCUAACACAUGCAAGUCGAACGAGUGGCGGACGGGUGAGUAAUGUCUGGGAAACUGCCCGAUGGAGGGGGAUAACUACUGGAAACUGUAGCUAAUACCGCCUACCAUCGGAUGUGCCCAGAUGGGAUUCGCUUGUAGUUGGGGUAACGGCUAACCAAGGCGACGAUCCCUUGCUGGUCUGAGAGGAUGACCAGCCACACUGGAACUGAGACACGGGCAAGACUCAUACGGGAGGCAGGAGUGGGGAAUAUUGCACAAUGGGCGAAAGCCUGAUGCAGCAAUGCCGCGGGUAUGAAGAAGGCCUUCGGGUUGUAAAGUACUUUCAGCGGGGAGGAGGGAAAGGAAGAAGAAGCACCGGCUAACUACGUGCCAGCAGCCGCGGUAAGAG
rnacentral:rRNA from 1 species